UCUGUUUCAGGGGAGCCCCCUCUGAGGUCUUUGAGAUUCCAGCCAGCAUUGGAAGUGACAGCCCAGAUAAGGCAGAAAGAUUUGAGUUAUCCUGCUACUUACCAAGAGGAGAAAAACAGCAUAAGAGCGUUGGUUAAUGGGCAUGCUUUGGAUUCACACUGGAUCCUGGAAGCAAAAUUGUCCCCUGUGGAUGUAGAGGUAUCAUGCUAAAUCCCCUCAGGAGAAUGUUUUACACUGGCUGCCUGUGCUGAUUGCUGCUGCUGCUCUCUUUUGCCACAAGCGAGGGCCAAAAACAUCUUUUUGUGUGGUAGAGCCAGGAGCAACCUUCAAUGUCUCUCUUGGACAAGUGCUUUCACCACUUCAUGCUUCAAUCCCAGAGUCAAGUGAGUGCAUGGAAUUGUGUCUCCACAAUACCCCAAAAAAGUCUUUUCCUCCUUCUCCAGCAUCUGUAGAUACAGUUGAGAUAGUGUUCCCUUGC
rnacentral:lncRNA from 1 species